AUUGCCACUUUUUGACUGGCCAAGCACUAGCGUUAUUUGAACAUUUUCAAUCUCAUGUGGAAUGCAAAAUUCUUCCUUAUACCCUGAUUCCAGUUUCUGAUAAUGUCCUGAAUGUAAGAUACAAUCAUAGAUUUCUUUUUUUAUUUUAUUUUAUUUUUAAGUUCCAUGUGCAGGAUGCGCAGGUUUGUUACAUAGGUAAAUGUGUGCCGUGGUGACAACCAUAGAUUUCUUAUCUCUUCUUUGUAAUUCCAGUUACAACAGCCUUAAUAGAAAUGAAGACAACUGUUUUCCUGUCACAUUCACAUUAUCUUGAAAAUCCAGAAAUCUACCCAGUCUUCUAAGCAGGUACUUGUUUACUGGUGAUGGGUGGAAGGGAGAAAGGACAAUAGAGACAAUGGACCAAGCAAGAUAAAAUAAAGGUCACAGGGAAGAAUAUGAAAAGCAUUUGAGCCAGGAUAGUUAGAGGUGGAAACACCAGAUGACAAUACUAGAUUCAAAAGCAAAAUCUGAGAAACACACACAACACUAAAGCAGAGAUGUCCAGAGCACCCUAAGGUUAACUGUUAAGGGCAAUUGCAGCAAAUUCAUAUCAGUUAUGCAUUUCAUGUGUUGUCAUUCAUCAUCUAUGUGUUCUCCCAGACAUGCAGGUGUCUUUACUUAGCUAAAAUUCACCAUAAAGAAAUUGUUUAGUAUUCUGA
rnacentral:lncRNA from 1 species